GGAAUGUUUGAAAGUACAUGGACGUAAGGAAUAGAGAGGACACCUACAAAAGAAAUGAUUUGGAAAGAUAUUGCUCGACGUUGUUUCAGUAUUUCAACAUGGUUUCAUCUAUCUCCAAAAAGAAGCAAGUAACUGCAAUAAACCAGGAAGGAAUUCAGAUGAUGAAUCGGAGGAGGGAGAGGCAAAUCAAAGUAAUGAGAAAGGUCUUGAUCUAAUGGAAACGACUAAGAAUGGUUUACUAACAAGCCCAUUAGGAAGAGUUAAUGAUAUAUCUAUGGAAGAUAAUACAGAAGCAAAAGACGGUUUGAUCAGUCUGGUAAAGAUUUCGAGCAAGACGUUCUUGCCCCAAGAAGGUAGUUCUCUCGUAAAUUUAAGCCCCCCAUGCCCGGUGCAAAGAAACCAAACUUGAAGAGGCCAGCAUUUGUUUCAGUAGUACUUCCCAAAUCGAUUACAUCUGGUGUAGUUGGAAUUCAAUUCAAUGAAAGUAAAGUUGAUAGUGUGGAAAAAGAGAAUCCAUUUUUCUCUUUGCUCACUGGCGGCAAAGCCAAAAGUAGUUUAUUUUAAGCCGUAGAGAAUUUUAGCAAGGAGUUAUAUUCUUUGAAGUUGCACAUAUGCCAUUGUCAUUGGUUAUGGAAAAAUCAUCCAUAAGCGUUUUUGAUAAAUUGAGAUUAGUAUUGUAAAAUCUUGUAUGGUUAUAGUUAGAUAGCUAGAAACAAGUUUGAACGUUUGAGUUCAGACCAAUUUUGUUGUUUCAUUUAAGCUCUCAACUUGUCUAUGAGUUAUUAACUAAUAAAAACCAUAGUAGAGCCAAUCGCUGUCGAACAUCCAACGAAGUUUGAAACAUAAGCCUUCCCUGGGUGGCACCAGAAAACCAAUCAGACAACUCAAAAGAAUCCCAAACUUAUAGCAUCUAUUAAAUGG